rnacentral:rRNA from 1 species
UACGUAGGAUGCAAGCGUUUGUCCGGAUUUACUGGGCGUAAAGGGCGCGCAGGCGGCACUACAAGUACUGGGUGAAAUCUCCCUGCUCAACGGGGGAGGGUGCUUAGUAGACUGUAGAGCUAGAGGUGGGUAGAGGGUGGUGGAAUUGCUGGUGUAGCGGUGAAAUGCGUAGAGAUGUGGAGGAACACCAGUGGCGAAGGCGACUCUUUGGUCUGUAACUGACGCUGAGGCGCGAAAGCGUGGGGGAGCAAACAGG